UACGUAGGGAGCAAGCGUUGUCCGGAAUCAUUGGGCGUAAAGAGCGCGUAGGCGGUCCGAUAAGUCGGCUGUGAAAGUCAGGGGCUCAACCCUUGGAAGCCGGCCGAUACUGUCGGACUAGAGUCCGGAAGAGGCGAGUGGAAUUCCCGGUGUAGCGGUGAAAUGCGCAGAUAUCGGGAGGAACACCAAUGGUGAAAACAGGUCGCUGGGGAUGAGCUGACGCUGAGACACGAAAGCCAGGGGAGCAAACGGG
rnacentral:rRNA from 1 species